CUGGAGGUAUCAGAAGUGCGAAUGCUGACAUAAGUAACGAUAAAGCGGGUGAAAAGCCCGCUCGCCGGAAGACCAAGGGUUCCUGUCCAACGUUAAUCGGGGCAGGGUGAGUCGACCCCUAAGGCGAGGCCGAAAGGCGUAGUCGAUGGGAAACGGGUUAAUAUUCCCGUACUUGGUGUUACUGCGAAGGGGGGACGGAGAAGGCUAUGUUGGCCGGGCGACGGUU
rnacentral:rRNA from 18 species